rnacentral:rRNA from 1 species
CGGACGGGUGAGUAACGCGUGGGUAACCUACCCUGUACACACGGAUAACAUACCGAAAGGUAUGCUAAUACGGGAUAAUAUACUUGAGAGGCAUCUCUUGAAUAUCAGAGGUGAGCCAGUACAGGAUGGACCCGCGUCUGAUUAGCUAGUUGGUAAGGUAACGGCUUACCAAGGCGACGAUCAGUAGCCGACCUGAGAGGGUGAUCGGCCACAUUGGAACUGAGACACGGUCCAA